rnacentral:rRNA from 1 species
AUUGAACGCUGGCGGCAUGCCUUACACAUGCAAGUCGAACGGUAACGCGGGGCAACCUGGCGACGAGUGGCGAACGGGUGAGUAAUGUAUCGGAACGUGCCCAGUAGUGGGGGAUAGCCCGGCGAAAGCCGGAUUAAUACCGCAUACGACCUGAGGGGGACAGCGGGGGAUCGCAAGAAUUCGCGCUAUUUGAGCGGACGAUAUAAGAUUAGCUAGUUGGUGGGGUAAAGGCCUACCAAGGCGACGAUCUGUAGCUGGUCUGAGAGGACGACCAGCCACACUGGGACUGAGACACGGCCCAGACUCCUACGGGAGGCAGCAGUGGGGAAUUUUGGACAAUGGGCGAAAGCCUGAUCCAGCCAUGCCGCGUGCGGGAAGAAGGCCUUCGGGUUGUAAACCGCUUUUGUCAGGGAAGAAAAGGCUCGAACUAAUACUUUGGGCUCAUGACGGUACCUGAAGAAUAAGCACCGGCUAACUACGUGCCAGCAGCCGCGGUAAAAC